rnacentral:lncRNA from 1 species
CCGUGAGCAAGACCAAAAGCUCAGGCUGGCCAGCGGCAGCCUGGGGGCUACAGGGAGGAGUAGGUCCUCAAGUCCUAGAGGGGGGGUCUGGGCAGUGCAUCUGCCAUGCUGUGAGCUAAUCCCGGAAAAACCAGACUGGAAAAGAGACUUGAGAAUUAUUUGUCCCUUUGUCGUAGUCUGCUCAGGCUGCUGUAACGAAUGGUCGCGAACAGGGUGGCUCUCGUAAGCAUUCGCUCCUCACAGUGCCAGAGGCUGGAAGUUCAGGCUCCAGCCGCCCACACCAGCAGGGACCCCAUCUCUUCCGUAAAGAAAAGAUACACUACACAGGGCUUGGGCGUUGCAGAGAGAGGGGAGAGUGGGAAAGAGAAAGGAGCAGCGGCCCUCGUGCGCCGGGGCUGCGCGUGCAGCUGGGCAGCCGUCCCUGGACAGCGGCCUGGAGCGGCCUCAGAAGGUGGAGACAACUGCCCUGCCCUCCAGCAUCGGCACGACUAGGUAUUUACCCAAAGAAUACAAAAACACUACUUCAAAGGGGUACACGCACCCCAGUGUUUAUAGCAGCGUUGCCUACUGCUGCCGCACUAUGGGGAGAGUCCGGAUGUGUGCCAAGUGCACGGAGGAAGACGGUGGGGUGUGUGCGCGGCGGAGUGUGACUCGCCAUUAGCGACGAUGUGGAUGGAGCUGAAGUGUGCUACGCUGAGCAAACUAAGUCAGAGAAAGACAAUUACCGUAGGAUUUCACGCACAUGUGGAAUUUAGGAAACAAAAAAUAAGCAUCGAGGAAGAAAUAAAAAACAAGGGGAAGCAAACCAUAGGAGGGGUGGGGGGAGGGGCCGAGUGGGGGAGGGGCAUCGAGGAGGGACCUGUGAUGGGCCCGCGGUGUUGUAGUAAGUGACCGGAAUCGCUGACUUCUGCUCCAGAAGCCACUAUUACACUGUACUGCAACUCACCAGAAUUUAAAUGAAAAUUUGGAGAACAAUAGUGUACAGGA